GUGGGGAAUAUUGGGCAAUGGGCGAAAGCCUGACCCAGCAACGCCGCGUGAAGGAUGAAGGUUUUCGGAUUGUAAACUUCUGUCGCGAGGGACGAAGAAUGACGGUACCUCGUAAGAAAGCCCCGGCAAACUACGUGCCAGCAGCCGCGGUAAUACGUAGGGGGCGAGCGUUGUCCGGAAUGACUGGGCGUAAAGGGAGUGUAGGCGGCUUCUUAAGUUAUAUGUGAAAUCCCACGGCUCAACCGUGGAAGUGCAUAUAAAACUGGGGAGCUGGAGUGCAGGAGAGGUGAGUGGAAUUCCUAGUGUAGCGGUGGAAUGCGUAGAUAUUAGGAAGAACACCGGUGGCGAAGGCGGCUCACUGGACUGUAACUGACGCUGAGGCUCGAAAGCGUGGGGAGCAAACAGGA
rnacentral:rRNA from 1 species